UGGGGAAUAUUGGACAAUGGGCGCAAGCCUGAUCCAGCCAUGCCGCGUGUGUGAAGAAGGCCUUCGGGUUGUAAAGCACUUUCAGCGAGGAGGAAGGGAUUGUAGUUAAUAGCUGCAAUUUUUGACGUUACUCGCAGAAGAAGCACCGGCUAACUCUGUGCCAGCAGCCGCGGUAAUACAGAGGGUGCAAGCGUUAAUCGGAAUUACUGGGCGUAAAGCGCACGUAGGCGGUUUCUUAAGUCAGAUGUGAAAGCCCCGGGCUCAACCUGGGAAUUGCAUUUGAAACUGGGGAACUAGAGUGUGUGAGAGGGGGGUAGAAUUCCAAGUGUAGCGGUGAAAUGCGUAGAGAUUUGGAGGAAUACCAGUGGCGAAGGCGGCCCCUGGCACAACACUGACGCUCAGGUGCGAAAGCGUGGGGAGCAAACAGGAUUAGAUACCCUGGUA
rnacentral:rRNA from 1 species